ACGGCUCAGUAACACGUGGCUAACCUGCCCUCGGGACGGGGACACCCCCGGGAAACUGGGGCUAAUCCCCGAUAGGUGAAGAACUCUGGAAUGAGUCUCCACCCAAAAGACGCUUACGCCAUGCUCGUAGGCGCCGCCCAAGGAUGGGGCCGCGACCGAUCAGGUUGUUGGUGAGGUAACGGCUCACCAAGCCUUUUACCGGUGCGGGCCGUGGGAGCGGGAGCCCGGAGAUGGGCACUGAGACAAGGGCCCAGGCCCUAUGGGGCGCAGCAGGCGCGAAACCUCUGCAAUAGGCGAAAGCUUGACAGGGUUACUCUGAGUGAUGCCCGUUAAGGGCAUCUUUUGGCACUUCUAAAAAUAGUGUAGAAUAAGGGGUGGGCAAGUCUGGUGUCAGCCGCCGCGGUAAUACCAGCACCCCGAGUGGUCGGGACGAUUAUUGGGCCUAAAGCAUCCGUAGCCGGUUCUGCAAGUCUUCCGUUAAAUCCACCUGCUCAACAGAUGGGCUGCGGGGGAUACUACAGGGCUAGGAGGCGGGAGAGGCAAGCGGUACUCGGUGGGUAGGGGUAAAAUCCUCUGAUCCACCGAAGACCACCAGUGGCGAAGGCGGCUUGCCAGAACGCGCUCGACGGUGAGGGAUGAAAGCUGGGGGAGCAAACCGGAUUAGAUACCCGGGUAGUCCCAGCUGUAAACGAUGCAGACUCGGUGAUGGGUUGGCUUUGAGCCAACCCAGUGCCGCAGGGAAGCCGUUAAGUCUGCCGCCUGGGGAGUACGGUCGCAAGACUGAAACUUAAAGGAAUUGGCGGGGGAGCAC
rnacentral:rRNA from 1 species